UUGAACGCUGGCGGCAGGCCUAACACAUGCAAGUCGAACGGUAACAGGAAACAGCUUGCUGUUUCGCUGACGAGUGGCGGACGGGUGAGUAAUGUCUGGGAAACUGCCUGAUGGAGGGGGAUAACUACUGGAAACGGUAGCUAAUACCGCAUAACGUCGCAAGACCAAAGAGGGGGACCUUCGGGCCUCUUGCCAUCGGAUGUGCCCAGAUGGGAUUAGCUUGUUGGUGGGGUAACGGCUCACCAAGGCGACGAUCCCUAGCUGGUCUGAGAGGAUGACCAGCCACACUGGAACUGAGACACGGUCCAGACUCCUACGGGAGGCAGCAGUGGGGAAUAUUGCACAAUGGGCGCAAGCCUGAUGCAGCCAUGCCGCGUGUAUGAAGAAGGCCUUCGGGUUGUAAAGUACUUUCAGCGGGGAGGAAGGGAGUAAAGUUAAUACCUUUGCUCAUUGACGUUAUCCGCAGAAGAAGCACCGGCUAACUCCGUGCCAGCAGCCGCGGUAAUACGGAGGGUGCAAGCGUUAAUCGGAAUUACUGGGCGUAAAGCGCACGCAGGCGGUUUGUUAAGUCAGAUGUGAAAUCCCCGGGCUCAACCUGGGAACUGCAUCUGAUACUGGCAAGCUUGAGUCUCGUAGAGGGGGGUAGAAUUCCAGGUGUAGCGGUGAAAUGCGUAGAGAUCUGGAGGAAUACCGGUGGCGAAGGCGGCCCCCUGGACGAAGACUGACGCUCAGGUGCGAAAGCGUGGGGAGCAAACAGGAUUAGAUACCCUGGUAGUCCACGCCGUAAACGAUGUCGACUUGGAGGUUGUGCCCUUGAGGCGUGGCUUCCGGAGCUAACGCGUUAAGUCGACCGCCUGGGGAGUACGGCCGCAAGGUUAAAACUCAAAUGAAUUGACGGGGGCCCGCACAAGCGGUGGAGCAUGUGGUUUAAUUCGAUGCAACGCGAAGAACCUUACCUGGUCUUGACAUCCACGGAAGUUUUCAGAGAUGAGAAUGUGCCUUCGGGAACCGUGAGACAGGUGCUGCAUGGCUGUCGUCAGCUCGUGUUGUGAAAUGUUGGGUUAAGUCCCGCAACGAGCGCAACCCUUAUCCUUUGUUGCCAGCGGUCCGGCCGGGAACUCAAAGGAGACUGCCAGUGAUAAACUGGAGGAAGGUGGGGAUGACGUCAAGUCAUCAUGGCCCUUACGACCAGGGCUACACACGUGCUACAAUGGCGCAUACAAAGAGAAGCGACCUCGCGAGAGCAAGCGGACCUCAUAAAGUGCGUCGUAGUCCGGAUUGGAGUCUGCAACUCGACUCCAUGAAGUCGGAAUCGCUAGUAAUCGUGGAUCAGAAUGCCACGGUGAAUACGUUCCCGGGCCUUGUACACACCGCCCGUCACACCAUGGGAGUGGGUUGCAAAAGAAGUAGGUAGCUUAACCUUCGGGAGGGCGCUUACCACUUUGUGAUUCAUGACUGGGGUG
rnacentral:rRNA from 1 species